rnacentral:lncRNA from 1 species
UUUAUUAUAAUAUUUUUUAAACUAUAACUGUCUAACCUCAAUUACAACCACAUUCUAAAUUUAGGAACUUGUUGGAGCGGAACACGUCCGGUGGUGGCAUCGGUGUGGAGUCACAUGGGAGCGUGGGAGGAAUGAAUGAAAAGGCCCAAAACGCACAUUCAAAUUCAUUGAUUUUUGAGCUAUUUUUGCUUUUUAUUUUGUGGGGUUGUAACCCGUUCACGUGGGAAAACCUUAGGAGAUGACUUU